rnacentral:lncRNA from 1 species
GUAACAAUCUCUCUAGUAAAUAAUCUGCAGUUUUUCUAUGAAAAUGAUACACCAAGUUCUGGUUUUAAUUUUAGUUUAGAUCAGCCACAGGAGCUGGGUACCUGCAGACACUUGUUUCUGCACCUGGGAGCUUCUCACCAGUGAGGUGGAGAGUAGACAAGCCGUCCCUGCCACCUGCUACCCUGGCGUGCCCUGGAGACGGAGCCCCAGGCUGGCCUGGCCCAGAGCCCUGGCUGUUCUGAGCCUCGGGGUUAAUCACCCCCACCGAGGGGGCACUGCACAGGGUCAGGGACCCUAAUGGGUUCCCGGUUCCUUGGAGUGGUCAGAGCUGAGGCACAGACCAGGCUCCCUAAAGAGCAGCUGGUGGCCUGGGACAGUCACCCACCUCGACUCUUGGUUUCUGCAUCUCUGAG